AGGAGAUUGACAUUUCCACGCGAAGUCUGUCUCUUCAGGGAGGAAAGCUGGGAGACACUAGACGGGCGAGGCAACCCCGGGGAAGACGUUCCUCCCUCCUUUACAGGUUCAGUGAAGUUCCUGGCAAAGGCCCCUUUGUGUGACUAAAUUUGGAAAGAAUAUGGAUCCGAGCCAGUCAUUCCACGUGUGCUCCCAGCUCCCAGCUGAGAAGGCCAAGGGUUCUCUUCCGGAACAAACCAACAUAAAGAGACAGCUUUGCAAUGGUGUACUGUGAAGAGUCGGAAAUCCUGGGUUGGAGGUGGGUACCACCACUUCCCCUC